rnacentral:misc_RNA from 1 species
CAGAUAUACAUUACAUAUAUCUUCCAACCCCCUUCAUUGUGAACUUUUGGUGCAAGUCAAGCUAAAGCCCCUGUCUAGAUAGGGGCAGUGCCCCUAUUCAAUAGGGGUAUUAGCCUUGCAAACCAAACUUUUUCAUAUACACAACUACUACACAUGUUAAUAUGCAUGACUUAUACAAUAAAA